GGCUGAAGUGGGCUUGAAAGAAGAGUGCAUAUUUUUAAAGAAGUAUAAUAUUACCGAGAACGACUACCACUACUGGCGAAAGUCAAAUAUUGGGAACCAGUGGGUUGCUAGCCACUACUACGGAAAAUUUUUUUCAGAUGGCGAAGGUGGACUUGGCUCCAUGAAUGUUUCUGACCUUUCAGGGAGCGACACAAGUCCAUUUGAAGUCAUGAAGCUCAUGUAUGCAGACAAAAAUUGCAGCGUGUUCUUGGUAACGCCUUUGGAAGAUGACGCUGA